UACAGAGGGUGCGAGCGUUAAUCGGAAUUACUGGGCGUAAAGCGCACGUAGUCGGCUUUGCAAGUCGGGUGUGAAAUCCCCGGGCUCAACCUGGGAACUGCAUCCGAGACUGCAUUGCUAGAGUAUGGGAGAGGGAAGCGGAAUUUCUGGUGUAGCAGUGAAAUGCGUAGAUAUCGGGAGGAACACCAGUGGCGAAGGCGGCUUCCUGGCCUGUUCU
rnacentral:rRNA from 1 species